rnacentral:rRNA from 1 species
AAUGGAUGGAAAUCUGAUCCAGCCAUGCCGCGUGCAGGAAGACGGCCCUAUGGGUUGUAAACUGCUUUUGUAUGGGAGCAAUAAGGUCUACGUGUAGACCGAUGAGAGUACCAUACGAAUAAGCACCGGCUAACUCCGUGCCAGCAGCCGCGGUAAUACGGAGGGUGCAAGCGUUAUCCGGAUUUAUUGGGUUUAAAGGGUGCGUAGGCGGUUUGAUAAGUCAGCGGUGAAAUAUUUCAGCUUAACUGGAAGGGUGCCGUUGAUACUGUCAGGCUUGAAUUUAGUUGCUGUGGGUGGAAUGUGUGGUGUAGCGGUGAAAUGCAUAGAUAUCACACAGAAUAUCGAUUGCGAAGGCAGCUCACAAAGCUAAUAUUGACGCUGAUGCACGAAAGUGUGGGGAUCAAA